rnacentral:rRNA from 1 species
UUCCGGUUGAUCCCGCCAGACCUGACUGCUAUCGGAUUGAUACUAAGCCAUGCGAGUCGUUGUAGCAAUACAAGGCAUACGGCUCAGUAACGCGUAGUCAACCUAACCUAUGGACGGGAAUAACCUCGGGAAACUGAGAAUAAUGCCCGAUAGAACAUUAUGCCUGGAAUGGUUUAUGUUCCAAAUGAUUUAUCGCCAUAGGAUGGGACUGCGGCCUAUCAGUUUGUUGGUGAGGUAAUGGCCCACCAAGACUAUUACAGGUACGGGCUCUGAGAGGAGUAGCCCGGAGAUGGGUACUGAGACACGGACCCAGGCCCUAUGGGGCGCAGCAGGCGAGAAAACUUUGCAAUGUGCGAAAGCACGACAAGGUUAAUCCGAGUGAUUUCUGCUAAAGAGAUCUUUUGUUAGUCCUAGAAACACUAACGAAUAAGGGGUGGGCAAGUUCUGGUGUCAGCCGCCGCGGUAAAACCAGCACCUCAAGUGGUCAGGAUGAUUAUUGGGCCUAAAGCAUCCGUAGCCGGCUCUGUAAGUUUUCGGUUAAAUCUGUACGCUCAACGUACAGGCUGCCGGGAAUACUGCAGAACUAGGGAGUGGGAGAGGUAGACGGUACUCGGUAGGAAGUGGUAAAAUGCUUUGAUCUAUCGAUGACCACCUGUGGCGAAGGCGGUCUACCAGAACACGUCCGACGGUGAGGGAUGAAAGCUGGGGGAGCAAACCGGAUUAGAUACCCGGGUAGUCCCAGCUGUAAACUAUGCAAACUCAGUGAUGCAUUGGCUUGUGGCCAAUGCAGUGCUGCAGGGAAGCCGUUAAGUUUGCCGCCUGGGAAGUACGUACGCAAGUAUGAAACUUAAAGGAAUUGGCGGGGGAGCACCACAAGGGGUGAAGCCUGCGGUUC